UACGAAGGGGGCUAGCGUUGCUCGGAAUCACUGGGCGUAAAGGGCGCGUAGGCGGACUCUUAAGUCGGGGGUGAAAGCCCAGGGCUCAACCCUGGAAUUGCCUUCGAUACUGAGAGUCUUGAGUUCGGAAGAGGUUGGUGGAACUGCGAGUGUAGAGGUGAAAUUCGUAGAUAUUCGCAAGAACACCAGUGGCGAAGGCGGCCAACUGGUCCGAUACUGACGCUGAGGCGGCGAAAAGCGUGGGGAGCAAACAGGG
rnacentral:rRNA from 1 species